AGAGUUUGAUCCUGGCUCAGGAUGAACGUUGGCGGUGUGCCUAAUACAUGCAAGUCGAACGGAGUUAAUAGCAAUAUUGACUUAGUGGCGAACGGGUGAGUAACGCGUUGGUGAUCUGCCUCGAAGUGUGGAAUAACGUUCCGAAAGGAACGCUAAUACCGCAUGUGCUCUCGAUUUUUAGAAAGUUGAGAGUAAAGGAUUUAUUCGCUUCGAGAGGAGCCUGCGUCCCAUCAGCUAGUUGGUAGGGUAAUAGCCUACCAAGGCUUUGACGGGUAGGGGACCUGAGAGGGUGGCCCCCCACAAUGGAACUGAAACACGGUCCAUACACCUACGGGUGGCAGCAGUAGGGAAUAUUAGAAAUGGACGAAAGUCUGAUCUAGCGACACCGCGUGUGCGAUGAAGGCCUUCGGGUUGUAAAGCACUUUUUGGAAGGAAUAGGAAGGAAGGUACUUCCAGAAUAAGUCUCGGCUAACUACGUGCCAGCAGCCGCGGUAACACGUAGGAGGCAAACGUUAUCCGGAUUUACUGGGCGUAAAGCGCGUGUAGGUGGUUCUGUAAGUAGGGCGUGAAAGCUCCCGGCUCAACUGGGAGAGGCCGUUCUAAACUGCAGAACUAGAGGAUGGUAGAGGGAGGUGGAAUUCCAGGUGUAGCGGUGGAAUGCGCAGAUAUCUGGAGGAACACCAGUGGCGAAAGCGGCCUCCUGGACCAUUCCUGACGCUCAGACGCGAAAGCUAGGGUAGCAAACGGGAUUAGAGACCCCGGUAGUCCUAGCCCUAAACGAUGUAGACUAGACGUCGGUGGUGUAAUAGCUGUCGGUGUCCAAGCUAACGCGAUAAGUCUACCGCCUGGGGACUACGGCCGCAAGGUUAAACUCAAAGGAAUUGACGG
rnacentral:rRNA from 1 species